rnacentral:lncRNA from 1 species
GUCAAAUAAAACCUGCGCGACUGACAUAAAGAUCAUAAAAUAUUUCCAUACACCAAAUAUAGUUGACAUAUGGCAUAUUGUAUUAGAUAAAAAGACCAAAACUCAAAAACUUAACUUUGACCACUGAACCAUGAAAAUGAGGUCACAUGACAUCUGCCAGCUAGACAUGUACACCUUACAAUCAUUCCAUACAACAAAUAUAGUAGACCUAUUGCAUAUAGUAUGAGAAAAACAGACCAAAACACAAAAAUUUAACUAUAACCACUGAACCAUGAAAAUGAGGUCAAGGUCAGAUGACACCUGCCAGUUGGACAUGUACACCUUACAGUCCUUCCAUACAC